rnacentral:rRNA from 1 species
UUAAGCGACUAAGCGUACACGGUGGAUGCCCUGGCAGUCAGAGGCGAUGAAGGACGUGCUAAUCUGCGAUAAGCGUCGGUAAGGUGAUAUGAACCGUUAUAACCGGCGAUUUCCGAAUGGGGAAACCCAGUGUGAUUCGUCACACUAUCAUUAACUGAAUCCAUAGGUUAAUGAGGCGAACCGGGGGAACUGAAACAUCUAAGUACCCCGAGGAAAAGAAAUCAACCGAGAUUCCCCCAGUAGCGGCGAGCGAACGGGGAGCAGCCCAGAGCCUGAAUCAGUGUGUGUGUUAGUGGAAGCGUCUGGAAAGGCGCGCGAUACAGGGUGACAGCCCCGUACACAAAAAUGCACAUAUUGUGAGCUCGAUGAGUAGGGCGGGACACGUGGUAUCCUGUCUGAAUAUGGGGGGACCAUCCUCCAAGGCUAAAUACUCCUGACUGACCGAUAGUGAACCAGUACCGUGAGGGAAAGGCGAAAAGAACCCCGGCGAGGGGAGUGAAAAAGAACCUGAAACCGUGUACGUACAAGCAGUGGGAGCACGCUUAGGCGUGUGACUGCGUACCUUUUGUAUAAUGGGUCAGCGACUUAUAUUCUGUAGCAAGGUUAACCGAAUAGGGGAGCCGAAGGGAAACCGAGUCUUAACUGGGCGUUAAGUUGCAGGGUAUAGACCCGAAACCCGGUGAUCUAGCCAUGGGCAGGUUGAAGGUUGGGUAACACUAACUGGAGGACCGAACCGACUAAUGUUGAAAAAUUAGCGGAUGACUUGUGGCUGGGGGUGAAAGGCCAAUCAAACCGGGAGAUAGCUGGUUCUCCCCGAAAGCUAUUUAGGUAGCGCCUCGUGAAUUCAUCUCCGGGGGUAGAGCACUGUUUCGGCAAGGGGGUCAUCCCGACUUACCAACCCGAUGCAAACUGCGAAUACCGGAGAAUGUUAUCACGGGAGACACACGGCGGGUGCUAACGUCCGUCGUGAAGAGGGAAACAACCCAGACCGCCAGCUAAGGUCCCAAAGUCAUGGUUAAGUGGGAAACGAUGUGGGAAGGCCCAGACAGCCAGGAUGUUGGCUUAGAAGCAGCCAUCAUUUAAAGAAAGCGUAAUAGCUCACUGGUCGAGUCGGCCUGCGCGGAAGAUGUAACGGGGCUAAACCAUGCACCGAAGCUGCGGCAGCGACACUAUGUGUUGUUGGGUAGGGGAGCGUUCUGUAAGCCUGUGAAGGUGUGCUGUGAGGCAUGCUGGAGGUAUCAGAAGUGCGAAUGCUGACAUAAGUAACGAUAAAGCGGGUGAAAAGCCCGCUCGCCGGAAGACCAAGGGUUCCUGUCCAACGUUAAUCGGGGCAGGGUGAGUCGACCCCUAAGGCGAGGCCGAAAGGCGUAGUCGAUGGGAAACAGGUUAAUAUUCCUGUACUUGGUGUUACUGCGAAGGGGGGACGGAGAAGGCUAUGUUGGCCGGGCGACGGUUGUCCCGGUUUAAGCGUGUAGGCUGGUUUUCCAGGCAAAUCCGGAAAAUCAAGGCUGAGGCGUGAUGACGAGGCACUACGGUGCUGAAGCAACAAAUGCCCUGCUUCCAGGAAAAGCCUCUAAGCAUCAGGUAACAUCAAAUCGUACCCCAAACCGACACAGGUGGUCAGGUAGAGAAUACCAAGGCGCUUGAGAGAACUCGGGUGAAGGAACUAGGCAAAAUGGUGCCGUAACUUCGGGAGAAGGCACGCUGAUAUGUAGGUGAAGUCCCUCGCGGAUGGAGCUGAAAUCAGUCGAAGAUACCAGCUGGCUGCAACUGUUUAUUAAAAACACAGCACUCUGCAAACACGAAAGUGGACGUAUACGGUGUGAUGCCUGCCCGGUGCUGGAAGGUUAAUUGAUGGUGUAAUCGAAAGAGAAGCUCUUGAUCGAAGCCCCAGUAAACGGCGGCCGUAACUAUAACGGUCCUAAGGUAGCGAAAUUCCUUGUCGGGUAAGUUCCGACCUGCACGAAUGGCGUAAUGAUGGCCAGGCUGUCUCCACCCGAGACUCAGUGAAAUUGAACUCGCUGUGAAGAUGCAGUGUACCCGCGGCAAGACGGAAAGACCCCGUGAACCUUUACUAUAGCUUGACACUGAACAUUGAGCCUUGAUGUGUAGGAUAGGUGGGAGGCUUUGAAGUGUGGACGCCAGUCUGCAUGGAGCCGACCUUGAAAUACCACCCUUUAAUGUUUGAUGUUCUAACGUGGACCCGUGAUCCGGGUUGCGGACAGUGUCUGGUGGGUAGUUUGACUGGGGCGGUCUCCUCCUAAAGAGUAACGGAGGAGCACGAAGGUUGGCUAAUCCUGGUCGGACAUCAGGAGGUUAGUGCAAUGGCAUAAGCCAGCUUGACUGCGAGCGUGACGGCGCGAGCAGGUGCGAAAGCAGGUCAUAGUGAUCCGGUGGUUCUGAAUGGAAGGGCCAUCGCUCAACGGAUAAAAGGUACUCCGGGGAUAACAGGCUGAUACCGCCCAAGAGUUCAUAUCGACGGCGGUGUUUGGCACCUCGAUGUCGGCUCAUCACAUCCUGGGGCUGAAGUAGGUCCCAAGGGUAUGGCUGUUCGCCAUUUAAAGUGGUACGCGAGCUGGGUUUAGAACGUCGUGAGACAGUUCGGUCCCUAUCUGCCGUGGGCGCUGGAGAACUGAGGGGGGCUGCUCCUAGUACGAGAGGACCGGAGUGGACGCAUCACUGGUGUUCGGGUUGUCAUGCCAAUGGCACUGCCCGGUAGCUAAAUGCGGAAGAGAUAAGUGCUGAAAGCAUCUAAGCACGAAACUUGCCCCGAGAUGAGUUCUCCCUGACUCCUUGAGAGUCCUGAAGGAACGUUGAAGACGACGACGUUGAUAGGCCGGGUGUGUAAGCGCAGCGAUGCGUUGAGCUAACCGGUACUAAUGAACCGUGAGGCUUAACCUU